UUUCCGUAGGAGAACCUGCGGAAGGAUCAUUCAUAAUAAAGUGUUUUAUGGCACUUUUUAAAAAUCCAUUUCCACCUUGUGUGCAAUGUUAGAUCUCGUCAAUCUUGGCGAGAUUUUUAUACAUCAACUCAUUCUUUAACUAAUUUGUCUGAAAAUAUUAUGAAUACUUAAUUCAAAAUACAACUUUCAACAACGGAUCUCUUGGCUCUC
rnacentral:misc_RNA from 1 species